rnacentral:rRNA from 1 species
GAUGAACGCUGGCGGCGUGCCUAAUACAUGCAAGUCGAGCGAACAGAUGAGGAGCUUGCUCCUCUGAUGUUAGCGGCGGACGGGUGAGUAACACGUGGAUAACCUACCUAUAAGACUGGGAUAACUUCGGGAAACCGGAGCUAAUACCGGAUAAUAUAUUGAACCGCAUGGUUCAAUAGUGAAAGACGGUCUUGCUGUCACUUAUAGAUGGAUCCGCGCUGCAUUAGCUAGUUGGUAAGGUAACGGCUUACCAAGGCAACGAUGCAUAGCCGACCUGAGAGGGUGAUCGGCCACACUGGAACUGAGACACGGUCCAGACUCCUACGGGAGGCAGCAGUAGGGAAUCUUCCGCAAUGGGCGAAAGCCUGACGGAGCAACGCCGCGUGAGUGAUGAAGGUCUUCGGAUCGUAAAACUCUGUUAUUAGGGAAGAACAAAUGUGUAAGUAACUAUGCACAUCUUGACGGUACCUAAUCAGAAAGCCACGGCUAACUACGUG